rnacentral:rRNA from 1 species
GAACGAACGCUGGCGGCAUGCCUAACACAUGCAAGUCGAACGAGACCUUCGGGUCUCGUGGCGCACGGGUGCGUAACGCGUGGGAACCUGCCCUUAGGUUCGGAAUAACUCCCCGAAAGGGGUGCUAAUACCGGAUAAUGUCUUCGGACCAAAGAUUUAUCGCCUUUGGAUGGGCCCGCGUUGGAUUAGCUAGUUGGUAGGGUAAAAGCCUACCAAGGCAACGAUCCAUAGCUGGUCUGAGAGGAUGAUCAGCCACACUGGGACUGAGACACGGCCCAGACUCCUACGGGAGGCAGCAGUGGGGAAUAUUGGACAAUGGGCGAAAGCCUGAUCCAGCAAUGCCGCGUGAGUGAUGAAGGCCUUAGGGUUGUAAAGCUCUUUUACCCGGGAUGAUAAUGACAGUACCGGGAGAAUAAGCUCCGGCUAACUCCGUG